GCUGGGCAUGUUGGCACACAUCUGUAAUCCCAGAGGCUUGGGAGGCUGAGGCAAGAGGAUCACUAGUUCAAAGCCAGCCUCCGCAAAAGUGAGGCCUAAGCAACUCAGUGAGCCCCUGUCUCUA
rnacentral:sRNA from 1 species